rnacentral:rRNA from 1 species
GGUUUGUCGCGUUGUUCGUGAAAACUCACAGCUUAACUGUGGGCGUGCGGGCGAUACGGGCAGACUUGAGUACUGCAGGGGAGACUGGAAUUCCUGGUGUAGCGGUGGAAUGCGCAGAUAUCAGGAGGAACACCGGUGGCGAAGGCGGGUCUCUGGGCAGUAACUGACGCUGAGGAGCGAAAGCGUGGGGAGCGAACAGGAUUAGAUACCCUGGUAGUCCACGCCGUAAACGGUGGGUACUAGGUGUGGGUUUCCUUCCUUGGGAUCCGUGCCGUAGCUAACGCAUUAAGUACCCCGCCUGGGGAGUACGGCCGCAAGGCUAAAACUCAAAGAAAUUGACGGGGGCCCGCACAAGCGGCGGAGCAUGUGGAUUAAUUCGAUGCAACGCGAAGAACCUUACCUGGGUUUGACAUGCACAGGACGCCAGUAGAGAUAUUGGUUCCCUUGUGGCCUGUGUGCAGGUGGUGCAUGGCUGUCGUCAGCUCGUGUCGUGAGAUGUUGGGUUAAGUCCCGCAACGAGCGCAACCCUUGUCCUAUGUUGCCAGCGGGUUAUGCCGGGGACUCGUAGGAGACUGCCGGGGUCAACUCGGAGGAAGGUGGGGAUGACGUCAAGUCAUCAUGCCCCUUAUGUCCAGGGCUUCACACAUGCUACAAUGGCCGGUACAAAGGGCUGCGAUGCCGUGAGGUGGAGCGAAUCCUUUCAAAGCCGGUCUCAGUUCGGAUCGGGGUCUGCAACUCGACCCCGUGAAGUCGGA